AUACCGGAUAAGCCUUUGGGUAAAAGAUUUAUUGCCCCAAGAGGAGCUCGCGUCUGAUUAGCUAGUCGGUGAGGUAAAAGCUCACCAAGGCAGCGAUCAGUAGCUGGUCUGAGAGGACGAUCAGCCACACUGGGACUGAGACACGGCCCAGACUCCUACGGGAGGCAGCAGUGGGGAAUUUUCCGCAAUGGGCGAAAGCCUGACGGAGCAAGACCGCGUGAGGGAGGAAGGCUCUUGGGUUGUAAACCUCUUUUCUCAGGGAAGAAGCUCUGACGGUACCUGAGGAAUCAGCCUCGGCUAACUCCGUGCCAGCAGCCGCGGUAAUACGGAGGAGGCAAGCGUUAUCCGGAAUUAUUGGGCGUAAAGCGUCCGCAGGUGGCGAUUCAAGUCUGCUGUCAAAGCACGGGGCUUAACUCCGUUAAGGCAGUGGAAACUGAAUAGCUAGAGUGCCGUAGGGGUAGAGGGAAUUCCCGGUGUAGCGGUGAAAUGCGUAGAGAUCGGGAAGAACAUCGGUGGCGAAAGCGCUCUACUGGACGGCAACUGACACUCAGGGACGAAAGCUAGGGGAGCGAAUGGGAUUAGAUACCCCAGUAGUCCUGGCUGUAAACGAUGGAUACUAGGUGUAGCUUGUAUCGACCCGAGCUGUGCCGAAGCUAACGCGUUAAGUAUCCCGCCUGGGGAGUACGCACGCAAGUGUGAAACUCAAAGGAAUUGACGGNGGCCCGCACAAGCGGUGGAGUAUGUGGUUUAAUUCGAUGCAACG
rnacentral:rRNA from 1 species